ACACCUCAACUCUCAUGGUUUGCCAUGAUGAGUUGGACUCUGGGGGUUUUGCUGGCCUGUGGUCGGCUCCUCUCAAAUUAAUCAGCCUCCCAGUGUUUGGUGGCAUCACGGGUGUGAUAAAUAUCUACACUCGCUGUUGUCUGCCAGGUAACCUUUGGUCACAAAGGUUUGCUGGAGCUCACAGAUGUCUCUCCUCAGCGAGGACAGCUUUUUUAAC
rnacentral:misc_RNA from 1 species